GGGAAGGUAGCUCAGUGGUAGAGUGCUUGCCUUGCAUGCAAGAGGCCCUGGGUUUGAUUCCUCAGCACCA
rnacentral:tRNA from 1 species